AGGACGAACGCUGGCGGCGUGCCUAACACAUGCAAGUCGAACGAGUCCACUCUUUCGGGAGUGAGGCGAGUGGCGGACGGGUGAGUAACACGUGAGCAACCUAUCCUUGUGCGGGGGACAACCCGGGGAAACCCGGGCUAAUACCGCAUGGGCAGGCACCUCGAGUGGGGAGCCUGGGAAAGAUGGCCUCUUUACAAUGCUGUCGUGCAGGGAGGGCUCGCGGGCUAUCAGCUAGGUUGGGGGGUAAUGGCCCACCAAGGCAGCGACGGCGUACGGGGUCUGAGAGGACGACCCCGCACAUUGGAACUGAGACGACGGUCCAGACCUCCGUACGGGAGGCAGCGAGGUGGGGAAUAGUUGGGACAAGUGGGACGACAAGCCUGACCCAGGCGACGCCGCGUGCGGGAUGACGUCUCGCGGAGU
rnacentral:rRNA from 1 species